UAAUCUUUCCAGGGAGGAUCCUCAUUUAGUUGUGACAGACCCACACCUGAUGGCUCGGAAUAACCUAUUAUCGCAGGCCUGACCACAUCAGUUUUACACCCCAGGUUAGUAAGUUCUUCUUAUGUUGGAUCA
rfam:Populus trichocarpa scaffold_15_contig_86, whole genome shotgun sequence.